rnacentral:rRNA from 1 species
GACGAACCGUGCGAACGUUGUUCGGAAUCACUGGGCUUAAAGGGCGCGUAGGCGGGCGGUCUCGUCGGGGGUGGAAAUCCUGCCGCUCAACGGCAGAACUGCCCCCGCAUACGGGCCGUCUCGAGGGAGGUAGGGGCCUGCGGAACUUCCGGUGGAGCGGUGAAAUGCGUAGAUAUCGGAAGGAACGCCGGUGGCGAAAGCGGCGGGCUGGACCUCUUCUGACGCUGAGGCGCGAAAGCCAGGGGAGCGAACAGG